rnacentral:tRNA from 1 species
GAGGGUAUAGCUCAAUUUGUAGAGCAUGUGCUUAGCAUGUACAAUGUCCUGGGUUCAAUCCCCAGUAUCUCCA